AGCGAACGCUGGCGGCAGGCCUAACACAUGCAAGUCGAACGGAUCCUUCGGGAUUAGUGGCGGACGGGUGAGUAACACGUGGGAACGUGCCCUUUGGUUCGGAACAACUCAGGGAAACUUGAGCUAAUACCGGAUGUGCCCUUCGGGGGAAAGAUUUAUCGCCAUUGGAGCGGCCCGCUUCUGAUUAGCUAGUUGUUGAGGUAACGGCCCACCAAGGCGACGAUCAGUAGCUGUUCUGAGAGGAUGAUCAGCCACACUGGUACUGAGACACGGCCCAGACUCCUACGGGAGGCAGCAGUGGGGAAUCUUGCGCAAUGGGCGAAAGCCUGACGCAGCCAUGCCGCGUGAAUGAUGAAGGUCUUAGGAUUGUAAAAUUCUUUCAGCGGGGACGAUAAUGACGGUACCCGCAGAAGAAGCUCCGGCUAACUUCGUG
rnacentral:rRNA from 1 species